CUUUCAGAUUGCAAGAAAUAGAGGUCUGUUCUGCUAACCUCAGCUGUCGGGAGGCGGCUUAUAAGGAUACUCCAGCAACUAUGGAGAGUGAAUUUCUGCUCUGCCCGUGGCUCACCGAAACAAUAUGCUCUGACGCGCCAGAUCUUUUCUUGUUGCCUUUUUAGCAAUGAUGAACAUUAGAUGUUUGCCACUUGGCGCCAUCAGUACGGCUGGCGUCAGGCUUUGGGCUGAGAGGCAGCAGAUGGAUGUCAAGUCCAGCGCUCGGAGUCCUUCCUAACGGCCUCCCUCUAGGGUAACCUUGGCCGCGGCUGUUUCUCCUCUGGGAGGCGAGCGGCCCCUCCCCGUCCAAGGGCGCCGCCAUGUUGGGUUCCAGCGCAUCGGCUCUGAAAGGUCAAGUGUGGAUUUGGACGUUUGGCCAAGGAAAGGAGGCUACUUUUCAGGUAUAUUCAGCCGGUGAGCUGCAGCUCAGCCUCACUUGUCUUCUUCAUUCUGGGAUCCUGGCUGGAGGAGCAGUUCCUAACUGGGAAACGGAGCAAUGGACAAACGAUGUGUCAGCUUUUAAAACUUCUGCUCAGAAGUGGCAUAUAUUACUUCUACUCACAUUUCUGUAGCCAACUGGAUGUUAGUGGUACAGGGAAGGAUAAUCCUUCUGUAGGACGCCCUGGUCCCUCGAGUGGGUGGCUCAUCCUUCUGCAGGGAGAGCUGUGGAACACUGGGAACAGCGUCAUCUACCUCAGCCUCCUUAAGGGUUCCCUGGUGUGAGCAGACUGAAACUAAUGGCCAAAACUUAGUUUCAGAAUUCUUUGUGUGUAAUAUUUUUCAUGAACUCUCUGCAAUUAACAAGUAACUAGAAAUUGGCCCGUUGAGCUUUUGGAAUAUAUCCUGAAUCUCUCAGUGUGCUUAUUUAAUAAAUGCUCAUUGUAAGA